ACAGCCUGUAUUCUUCGAAUAUGACUGCAAAAUGAGGAAGGAAGUACUGUUUAGCAUUUUGUCAAGCGUUAAAAAAUGCGGUUACAAUAUUGUUGCCAUUGUAAGUGAUUUGGGUGGAUCAAAUAGAGGCUUAUAUAAUGAUCUUGAAAUUAAUGUGGAAAAACCUUGGUUUUUACACGAUGGAGACAGGGUUGUGGUUUUUGCAGCUGUCCCCUAUUUAAUAUGGCAAAAUUGUUAUAAAAGACAUUAUUCUGAAGCUUACCUCCAACGACCUGUCCAUCACGCACCAAAUUUCUCAGAAGCAUUUGUCUGUAACAGGAGCAGAAAGGCAAAAGGUUAAACUAGCCACAAAAUUGUUCUCCCACACAAUUGCUCAAGCAAUAACUCGAGCCGCUAGCUUAGAUCUGCUAGAUAACGAAAAUUGGGAGGAAUGCCAUCGACUUUUCAAAAUUGGUGCCCAAAGAUGGAGUGAAGGAACGCUUACACGCCUACGGUUUGGCUUUGAACGAGCAAAAUAAUGUACUGGAACAGAUGACGGAGAUGGUUUCAUCAAUGAGAGUCAUUGGUAAAAAUGGGUUGCUUCCAUUCCAAA